rnacentral:lncRNA from 1 species
AUGGGGAGAAAUACUUACAGGAAAGCUGAGUUUAUCCUUUUUGGCAUGCUAAUGUUUAUUUUUAUUGUAUUUCUGCUUACCAGAUUUCCUAGUGGUAAUUAUUUCCCAUUGACUCGGACCAAAGGACGGUGUGGACACCUAACAAAUAGUGUGCGGCUGAUAUGGAGAAUAUGUCAAGUCAACUGGAUGAGUCAGCACGGGCAACAUAAAGGACUGCAGUUAAAAGCUAGGGCUAGGACUUGGAGGAUGUGUAGGCAAACGGAAGGAGAGCCGGGGGAAGAAAAACCGAAAUGGAUUCAUUCUCCGUCCUGGAUGGAGGAGGAGAGGAGAGGAGAAGGGGACGUGCGAGCUUCCUUCAGCUGCCUCUGUCCGGUGAAAAGUGCUCGAAGCCCCGGGGCUGCCUCGGGCUCAGGAGUCCGCGCGGACUUUCGCUGUAAGCUGCCAAUCAAACUGCUAACUAGCCACCACCCUGCUCUGGCAAGGACAUGUAAGUAG